rnacentral:rRNA from 1 species
AGUGAACGCUGGCGGUAGGCCUAACACAUGCAAGUCGAACGGCAGCACAGUAAGAGCUUGCUCUUACGGGUGGCGAGUGGCGGACGGGUGAGGAGUACAUCGGAAUCUACUUUUUCGUGGGGGAUAACGUAGGGAAACUUACGCUAAUACCGCAUACGACCUACGGGUGAAAGCAGGGGAUCUUCGGACCUUGCGCGAUUGAAUGAGCCGAUGUCGGAUUAGCUAGUUGGCGGGGUAAAGGCCCACCAAGGCGACGAUCCGUAGCUGGUCUGAGAGGAUGAUCAGCCACACUGGAACUGAGACACGGUCCAGACUCCUACGGGAGGCAGCAGUGGGGAAUAUUGGACAAUGGGCGCAAGCCUGAUCCAGCCAUACCGCGUGGGUGAAGAAGGCCUUCGGGUUGUAAAGCCCUUUUGUUGGGAAAGAAAAGCAGCAGGUUAAUACCCCGCUGUUCUGACGGUACCCAAAGAAUAAGCACCGGCUAACUUCAUG